AAGGUAGAUGCCGAAAAACCUUUAAAGAGUAGGUA
rnacentral:ncRNA from 1 species